AAGAUGCACAGGGCAUGGCUGGCCAGCAAUGGUCAGAGGAAAGUCCGGACUGCACGGGACAGCGUACCGGCUAAUAUACCGGGCGGGGCGACCCGACGAUCAGAGCAACAGUGACGUAAACGAUUAAAUUCGAGUGAAACGGGCAAUCUCUGCGCGCAGCAACUUCAAAUAGGCCCCCUAUAUGUGUCCCGCAUCGGGGGCGGGUAGAAGGCUUGACAUAUCGCAGUAAUGCAAUAUGCAGAUUAAUCAUGCCCACUACCGCGGGGUGGUAUGCGAAACAUACUGGCCCGUCGGCAGGACAGAAUCCGGCUUAUAUGUUCAUCUGCACC
rnacentral:RNase_P_RNA from 1 species